UGAAACUGGUUCAGGCAGCUUCAGAGGA
rnacentral:piRNA from 1 species